rnacentral:tRNA from 1 species
GGGUGCGUAGCUCAGCGGGAGAGCACUGCAUUGACAUUGCAGGGGUCACUGGUUCAAUCCCAGUCGUGCCCACCA